ACACACGGCAGUUUUUAUGGGAAGCGAGAGGAGAGUUCUGUGUUUACAAGGACUGGGGGGGGGGGGGGGGGGGCUAUCUUCCUGAGCCUGGGACAUUCCUCCUCCGAUAGAGGAGGCUGAAGACUGAGUCCCAUUCUUCAGAGGCUGGUCGAAUCAGUUGUGCUGGCUGGUGAAUCUCUAAGACUUGGCUGACUGAGGCUUCUUCCCUGCAAUGCACGGGCACUCCUAAAUUGAUCUCCAGAAGUUAGAAGACAGCUUGGAAGCAAAGGAACAAAAAGCCUAGAAAGAGGUGGAAAUGAAGAAUCGGGAAAUGUGAAGAUGAGACAAGGAAAACCUCCCUGACAUCUUAAUGUCUUACAGAUGGGUCUUUUGAUGGCUAAGCUUGCAGUGCCCUUAAAUUUACCUUGUCUGGACUUUUCUUCCUGUAUUUUCUCUUGUGCUUGUUGAGGCCAGCGCCUCAACACAUUUGCAUGAGGGUACCUGGGAACACAAUAACCUAAAAACCAUUGAGUUAAGUAAGUAGUAAAGGCUAAUAAAUUGUCAUAUGAUUUCAUCGUAAAGCAUUCCUUUAUGCUUUAUAAGUCAGCAGACAAAACGUGAUAGGAAGUGUUCCAGGUCUCUCUUUCAAUCCAGAGCCCCUAGAAAAUGUACUUAUUUAUGACUUGUCCUUGAGGGUGGCUUUGAGGCUUUGAGACAGUUAAUAUCUACAAUAGUUCUUCGGCUAUGGAACUUUUUAAAAAUCUGGAAGGGCCAGGUAGGGUGAUGCACGCCUUUAAUUCCAGCACUCAGGAGGCAGAGACAGGGAGAUCUCUGGUAGUUUGAGGCCAACCCGAGACUGCAGAAAGUUCCUGUUUUACCCCUCCCCCGCGCCUCUUCCCCCUACACACACCU
rnacentral:lncRNA from 1 species